AAGUGCAUUGUAUCAAAUGAUUAAUUUAAAUGUAAGUACAUAGUAGUUAAGGCCACUUAAUAUAAAGUCGGUCCAAGUAUUCAAAUUCAUUUAACUGAAAAAGCCAAACUUGAUGGGAACAUGAAAAGCACAAUGCCCUGUCUGGUGUCCUUUGCCGCUAACUUUCUCCCUCUCGCUUUUCCCCCCUCUUCCACUCCCUUUAUACCGUCAGGGUCAAGGCUUUCCUCACCCACGACAUUUCUCUCCGCAUCUAGUGGUUUUGAACUACAUCCAGCGUCAUGCAAGACAACUUCAUCAAAGCGGCGCAGGGCCUAACGUGUCAUCCCACUGAUCAAAAACAUACAGUUCCAUUUUCACCCCUCGCAACUGAAGAGGAGAAAAAAAUCUUCAAAGGACAGUCAGCUUCUUUCUAGCACGCACGUAAGAUGGUUUGUGAUGCUGCCAAUUUCUCUAAUAAUUCUGCUUUGGGGAUGGUGAGGAGAAGAGAGGAUAGGAAGAAAGGACGGGAGGGGGGACUUGAAGGAGGGAUAUGUGGAAGAAUGCAACAUUUUGGUACGAAAAAGAGCUAUCUGCUCAUCUCCCCUCGGGGUACACUAACUUCAGAAUGAGAGAUCGAAUGGAGAAAGAGGAAGAAAGAAAGGGAGUUCUGCAUUUCAGAACAUCCGCACUGGAAUCGUCCUGGCAUUU